AACGAACGCUGGCGGCAUGCCUAACACAUGCAAGUCGAACGAGACCUUCGGGUCGAGUGGCGCACGGGUGCGUAACGCGUGGGAACCUGCCCUUAGGUUCAGAAUAACUCCCCGAAAGGGGUGCUAAUACCGGAUAAUGUCGUCGGACCAAAGAUUUAUCGCCUUUGGAUGGGCCCGCGUUGGAUUAGCUAGUUGGUAGGGUAAAAGCCUACCAAGGCGACGAUCCAUGGCUGGUCUGAGAGGAUGAUCAGCCACACUGGGACUGAGACACGGCCCAGACUCCUACGGGAGGCAGCAGUGGGGAAUAUUGGAGGAUGGGCGAAAGCCUGAUCCAGCAAUGCCGCGUGAGUGAUGAAGGCCUUAGGGUUGUAAAGCUCUUUUACCCGGGAUGAUAAUGACAGUACCGGGAGAAUAAGCGCCGGCUAACUCCGUG
rnacentral:rRNA from 1 species